GACGAACGCUGGCGGCGUGCUUAACACAUGCAAGUCGAGCGGAAAGGCUCCUUCGGGGGUACUCGAGCGGCGAACGGGUGAGUAACACGUGAGUAAUCUGCCCUGCGCUCUGGGAUAGCCACCGGAAACGGUGAUUAAUACCGGAUAUGACCGCUACACGCAUGUGUUGGUGGUGGAAAGUUUUUCGGCGAGGGAUGUGCUCGCGGCCUAUCAGCUUGUUGGUGAGGUAAGGGCUCACCAAGGCUUUGACGGGUAGCCGGCCUGAGAGGGUGGCCGGUCAAACUGGGACUGAGACACGGCCCAGACUCCUACGGGAGGCAGCAGUGGGGAAUAUUGGACAAUGGGCGGAAGCCUGAUCCAGCAACGCCGCGUGAGGGAUGACGGCCUUCGGGUUGUAAACCUCUUUCAGUACCGACGAAGCGAAAGUGACGGUAGGUACAGAAGAAGGACCGGCCAACUACGUGCCAGCCGCCGCCGUAAGAC
rnacentral:rRNA from 1 species